UUGAUUUAAAAUUUAAGUGAUGUAUUAUCGUUUUCCAUAAUUUAAAUUAUUUUUGAAGAUUUAUAUAGAGAUUACUUAUUUGUUGGAAAAUGAUGCAAAUCUUAUGAUGUUAGUGGUCCUACUAUUGUGCAAGUACUGGGUGUAGUGGGCUAAGAUCAUGGAAAUAGUGGAUUAGUGCCUUAAUUUGUGUAAGUAGUGGGUAAUGUUGUGGAGUUCAUGGUAGCUAGUUUCUAGGAGCACAUGUGUAGUGGAUGUAGUGGAGAACAUGUGUUGAGUUAGGUUUUCUUAAGCCUCAAGUUUCUUCUUUUAUUUAAGUCCUUUAAUUGUAAGCCUUUAGCAAUCAAGUUUUUUGAAUGAAAAGUGUUUAUUUUUCCUUCCACUUAAUUGCUGUAGCAAAGUGUAUUAGCAAGCCUUAAAUUACUUUCAAAAGCAACUUCCAUCUACAUUAUUCACUAGGUAAAUAAUAUUAAAAAUUGUAAUAUUUAAUUUUCUACAUAUUUUUAAUAAUGCAAGUCGUAUCUAACAGAAUCAAUUAUCGAUUCAAAUGUCCCACACAAUAAAAGUCUGAAGCUUCUGUUUUUCUAAACACUGAAAGUGAAUUCAAUCGAUACAUUCCCAAAUU
rnacentral:lncRNA from 1 species